UACGGGGGGAGCAAGCGUUGUUCGGAUUUACUGGGCGUAAAGGGCGCGUAGGCGGUCAGUGCAAGUCAGUUGUGAAAUCUCCGAGCUUAACUCGGAACGGUCAACUGAUACUGCUCGACUAGAGUGCGGAAGGGGCAACUGGAAUUCUUGGUGUAGCGGUGAAAUGCGUAGAUAUCAAGAGGAACACCUGCGGCGAAGGCGGGUUGCUGGGCCGACACUGACGCUGAAGCGCGAAAGCUAGGGGAGCGAACGGG
rnacentral:rRNA from 1 species